rnacentral:lncRNA from 1 species
CAUUAUAGAUCAAUAUAUAUAAUUGCAAAUUUAUAAUUUAAUAUUGCUAGUCAAAUGCCUAAUGUCAUAAUGUCUAAGAAUGUAUAUUAUAUAUAUUGAUGUAUAUGAUAAUGUUAAAAAUUAAAAAUAAAUUGCCAUCAGUAUUAAAUAAUUAAAUAAAAAUGGAGGAGAGAGCAAUGCUAUGGAUGCUUUCUCUUGUUAUGUUUGUUGGAUCUUGUCUUGGAGCUGGAUCACUGCCAUUAAGUUAAAUAAAUUUAUCAGAAGAAGUAAGAUAUAGAAGUGAAGAAGAAUAUUUUAUGUAAUAUAAAAUUAUGACAAGUUACAAUUAGUUUCAAUAUUAGGAGCAGGACUCCUUGUUGGUACUGCGCUAGCGAUUAUACCUGACUGUAACCUGAGGGUGUAAGAGCAUUAUUAUUUACUGUGGAUGGUAUUACUAAUGAAAAAGGCAAUUUACAUACUUUAACUUGGAAUUAGUUUAGUACUUGGUUUAUGCUUUUAAUUGAUCAAUGUUCAGCCAGAAAAAGUGGAGGAAGACAAGAAAAGUAUUACAGCAACUUUAGGUCUUAUAGUAGAUGCUGCUAGUUGAUUGGCGGUGUUGCAUUGGGAGCUGCUGCUACUACAUCUCAAGCUGAUGUCGAAGUGUCUUAGUUUUUCUUCGCAAUAAUGUUACACAAGGCGCCAGAUGCAUUUGGACUUGUGUCAAUUUCUUCUUCAUGAAGGUGUAGAUAGAAAGUAAGAAAAUAAGCAGACACUUAUUAAUUUUCUCUCUUGCGGCACCGUGUCUUGCACUUGUGACAUAUUUUGGAAUUGGAAAAGUAAUGUGAGACAUUCAGGACUGCCGCGCAAGACUGCACGCGCCAAUCAGGCGCGAGAACGGACGCGGACGCGCGAAGACUCCCAAUCAGGAGCGAGGACUGCCGUGCGUGCGCGAAGACGUCCAAUCAGGCGCGAGAACUGCCGCGCACGCCGCCAAGACUCCCAAUCAGGAGCGAGGACUGCCGUGCGUGCGCGAAGACUGCCAAUCAGGAGCGAGGACUGCCGCGCACGCCGCCAAGACUCCCAAUCAGGCGCGAGGACUGCCGAACAUGCGCGAAAUUGCAAAUUUAAAGGACAAGUUACAAUUAGUUUCAAUAUUAGGAGCAGGACUCCUUGUUGGUACUGCGCUAGCGAUUAUACCUGACUGUAACCUGAGGGUGUAAGAGCAUUAUUAUUUACUGUGGAUGGUAUUACUAAUGAAAAAGGCAAUUUACAUACUUUAACUUGGAAUUAGUUUAGUACUUGGUUUAUGCUUUUAAUUGAUCAAUGUUCAGCCAGAAAAAGUGGAGGAAGACAAGAAAAGUAUUACAGCAACUUUAGGUCUUAUAGUAAG